rnacentral:rRNA from 1 species
GACGAACGCUGGCGGCGUGCUUAACACAUGCAAGUCGAACGCUGAACCGAUUCGGUGGGGCUCAGUGGCGAACGGGUGAGCAACUCAUUGGCAACCUGGUCCCCGCCCUGGGAUAAGUCCAAGAAAUUUGGGCUAAUUACGGAUGUUCACCUCUUCCUGAAUGGUUGGUGUUGGUAAGGGUUUCCGGCUGGGGAUGGGCCUGCGGCGUAUCAGCUCGUUGGUGGGGUAGUUGGCUGCCAAAGCGACGAUGCGUAGCCAGCCUGCGAAGGUGACCCGCCACACAGGGACGGAGGCGAGGCCCGGACUCCUACUGGAGGCAGCAGUGGGGAAUAGUGCGCAAUGGGCGGAAGCAGUACGCAACGACGCCGCGUCGGAGAUGACGGCUGUCAGGUAGUAACCCUCUUGCAGCAGGGACGAAGCGCAAGUGACGGUACCUGAAGAAGAAGGACCGGCCAACUACGUG